rnacentral:tRNA from 1 species
UCCCUGGUGGUCCACUGACUGGGACUCUGGGCUCCCAAUGCAGGGGACGCAGGUUUGAUCCCUGCUCAGGGGA